CGGCACGGGUGAGUAACACGUAUCCAACCUGCCGUCUACUCUUGGCCAGCCUUCUGAAAGGAAGAUUAAUCCAGGAUGGCAUCAUGAGUUCACAUGUCCGCAUGAUUAAAGGUAUUUUCCGGUAGACGAUGGGGAUGCGUUCCAUUAGAUAGUAGGCGGGGUAACGGCCCACCUAGUCAACGAUGGAUAGGGGUUCUGAGAGGAAGGUCCCCCACAUUAGAACUGAGACACGGUCCAA
rnacentral:rRNA from 1 species